AUAGAUCAAAUUUCUUUGUAGUAAUUCUUCGUAGUACUCAGAACUAGUCGCUAAGAAGGUUCACCAAGUCCUCUGAGCUUGUUUGGUGACGAACAAUUCUAGUAGUAAUUCUUCGUAGUACACAGAACUAGUCGCUUAGAAGGUUCACCAAGUCCCCUGAGGUUGUUUGGUGACGCACAAAGCAUACACUUCAAAAUUGGAUCCAUUUUCUUUGUAGUAAUUUCUUCGUAGUACUCAGAACUAGUCGCUAGGAAGGUUCACCAAGUCCUCUGAACUUGUUUGGUGACGAACAAUUCUAGUAGUAAUUCUUCGUUGUACUUUGACAUAUCGCUAAGAAGGUUCACCAAGUCCUCUGAGGUUGUUUGGUGACGCACAAAGCAUGUACUUCAAAAAUAGAUCAAUUCCCCUUGUAGUAAUACUUCGUAGUACACAGAACUAGUCGCUAAGAAGGUUCACCAAGUCCUCUGAACUUGUUUGGUGACGAACAAUUCUAGUAGUAAUUCUUCGUAGUACUCUGAACAUAUCGCUAAGAACCAGAGGACUUGGUGAACCCUAAGGUUCACCAAGUCCUCUGAGGCUGUUUGGUGACGCACAAAGCAUAUACUUCAAAAAUAGAUCAAUUCUCCUUGUUGUAAUUUUUCGUAGUACUCAGAACUAGUAGUUAAGAAGGUUCACUAAUUCCUCUGAACUUGUUUGGUGACGAACAGUUCUAGUAGUAAUUCUUCGUAGUACUCUAGUCGCUAAAAAGGUUCACCAAGUCCUCUGAGCUUGUUUGGUGACGAACAAUUCUAGUAGUAAUUCUUCGUAGUACACAGAACUAGUCGCUUAGAAGGUUCACCAAGUCCCCUGAGGUUGUUGGGUGAAAAUUGGAUCAAUUUCCUUUGUAGUAUUUCUUCGUAGUACUCAGAACUAGUCGCUAGGAAGGUUCACCAAGUCCUCUGAGGUUGUUUGGUGACGCACAAAGCAAAUACUUCAAAAAUAGAUCAAUUCUCCUUGUUGUAAUUCUUCGUAGUACUCAGAACUAGUCACUAAGAAGGUUCACUAAAUCCUCUGAAGUUCUUAGGUGACGCACAAAGCAAAUACUUCAAAAUUUGAUCAAUUCUCUUUGUAGUUAUUCUUCGUAGUACUCAGAACUAGUAGCUAAGAAGGUUCACCAAGUCCUCUGAACUUGUUUGGUGACGAACAAACCUAGUAGUAAUUCUUCGUAGUACACAGAACUUAUCGCUAAGAAGGUUCACCAAGUCCUCUGAACUUGUUUGGUGACGAACAGUUCUAAGUAGUAGUUCUUCGUAGUACUCUAGUCGCUAGGAAGGUUCACCAAGUCCUCUGAGCUUGUUUGGUGACGAACAAUUCUAGUAGUAAUUCUUCGUAAUACACAGAAAUUAUCGUUAAAAAGGUUCACCAAGUCCUCUGAGGUUGUUUGGUGACGCACAAAGCAUACAAUUCAAAAUUGGAUCCAUUUUCUUUGUAGUAAUUCUUCGUAGUACUCAGAACUAGUCGCUAGGAAAGUUCACCAAGUCCUCUGAACUUGUUUGGUGACGAACAAUUCUAGUAGUAAUUCUUCGUAGUACUCUGAACAUAUCGCUAAGAAGGUUCACCAAGCCCUCUGAGGCUGUUUGGUGACGCACAAAGCAUAUAGGUACUUCAAAAAUAGAUCAAUUCUCCUUGUAGUAAUACUUCGUAGUACUCAGAACUAGUCGCUAAGAAGGUUCACUAAUUCAUCUGAACUUGUUUGGAUACGAACAGUUCUAGUUGUAAUUCUUCGUAGUACUCUAGUCGCUAAGAAGGUUCACCAAGUCCUCUGAGCUUGUUUGGUGACGAACAAUUCUCGUAGUAAUUCUUCGUAGUACACAGAACUAGUCGCUUAGAAGGUUCACCAAGUCCCCUGAGGUUGUUGGGUGAUGCACAAAGCAUAUACUUCAAAAUUGGAUCAAUUUUCUUUGUAGUAUUUCUUCGUAGCACUCAGAACUAGUCGCUAGGAAGGUUCACCAAGUCCUCUGAGGUUGUUUGGUGACGCACAAAGCAUGUACUUCAAAAAUAGAUCAAUUCUCCUUGUUGUAAUUCUUCGUAGUCACGGAACUAGUCGCUUAGAAGGUUCACCACCAAGAACCCCUGAGGUUCUUAGGUGACGCACAAAGCAAAUACUUCAAAAUUUGAUCAAUUCUCUGUGUAGUAAUUCAUCGUAGUACACAGAACUAGUCGCUUAGAAGGUUCACCAAGUCCUCUGAGGUUGUUUGGUGACGCACAAAGCAUAUACUUCAAAAUUUGAUCCAUUUUCUUUGUAGUAAUUCUUCGUAGUACUCAGAACUUAUUGCUAAGUAGGUUCACCAAGUCCUCUGAGGUUGUUUGGUGACGCACAAAGCAUAUACUUCAAAAAUAGAUCGAUUUUCUUUGUAGUAAUUCUUCGUAGUACUCAGAACUUAUCGCUAUGUAGGUUCACCAAGUCCUCUGAGCUUGUUUGGUGUUUUCUAGUAGUAAUUCUUUGUAGUACCCUAGUCGCUAAGAAGGUUCACCAAGUCCUCUGAGGUUGUUUGGUGGCACACUGCUAAUACAUGGCAGAAAAUGUUGGGCUGGUCGCAUCGCACAGAUACCGAAAUAACAAUUGAAGAGAACUUUCAGUUGAUAACGUGGAAGGCGCGAAGGUGAUGGUUUGUUCUUGAAGACCAUGGCAAAUAAUUCAGUAUAAGCGGUCCAGUAUAAGGGAUUUUCCAUUCGUCCUAAACUCAAUGAACCAGACUCAACAAAUAAGAAGCCAAGGAAACACCUUAUUAGGCCUGUUAAAUAGAGCACACGGCAUGCAGCGAUCGAGAUUGAUGGGACUUCGGUGAUAGCUUUUUUAAAUUCAUGACAUGAUAUUUUUUAGCUUUAUAUUUGCUUUUUUUAAUCCUUUAUUGUUCUAUUUUGAUGCUUAAUUACCUUAUAAAACUAAAGAUCCUCUCAAAGUUACAUAAGGAUUACCUUUGAACAUUACAGGAACAAAUUUCCCACCUGCCGUAGUUCAAAUUUAAGGGAGUGCCUUAUCUUGGUUCAAAAGCUGCGAUAUGGGAACAUUCUUGCGACGAUGGUUCAACUGCAACUGUUUCCAUGGUUCAUAAUAGCGCUCCUGCAUCAGCCACUCUUACUAUUUGGACCACCAUUCCUUCCUCUACUAAUCCGGUAGACUGAGAUACCUCAAAAUAGUUGCAUACUCGCACCACACUCGCGAUGCUCUUGUUUCUGGUUGAUCUACCUUCACAAGUCACGGGUAUCCCGGGGGCUACCUCCGAUUCGGGAGUUCACGGGUGUCGAACCCGCGAGUGGAGCCGGAGGACGGGCGAUUACGCGGAUGUCGCCGCGAUGCCAAUUUGGUAUCGAAUUCUUGCCGCGCGGAUCCAUCGGCGGCGGUUAGUUAAUCGGGAGCAGUGUCGGACCAUCACGAAGACUUUUCGUUCGAGCCGCGGGAGGUGGCGACGAUGCCUCAGUGAGACGCGGAUGCCACUUGUUUCAGAAACUGAAAUAUAAACAAAAUUAGUUUUUAAAAAGUUGGUUUUAAUUAAAAUACUAAAGAAAAUAA